ACGGAGGGUGCAAGCGUUAAUCGGAAUUACUGGGCGUAAAGAGUUCGUAGGCGGUUUGUUAAGUUAGAUGUGAAAGCCCUGGGCUUAACCUAGGAACUGCAUUUAAUACUGGCAAACUCGAGUUUAGGAGAGGGAAGUGGAAUUUCAGGUGUAGCAGUGAAAUGCGUAGAGAUCUGAAGGAACACCAGUGGCGAAGGCGACUUCCUGGACUAAAACUGACGCUGAGGAACGAAAGCGUGGGUAGCAAACGGG
rnacentral:rRNA from 1 species